rnacentral:piRNA from 1 species
CGGGAGGGACUCAGUGUAUACGGUAC